AGCAAACUCUUGGAAUGAGUCUGUGCCCCAGAGCAGUGGCGAGCAGCUGUUUUCCAACUACAAAUCUGAGGAUGAAAACCCAUUUUUCUCCUAAAAUUUCGCUCUGAUCAUGCAUUGACAAAGCUGAAGUGCAAGUAUUUGCACAUAUGCACAUAUGUGGAGCGGUGAAUUAAAUACUUGCAGUUGCUUAGAGGUAAAAAACACUGAAAACUUCGGUGACAAAGGAAGCAGGAGGUCCAUAUUUCUGUAAGGAACCAUUUUAAUUUCUUGCAUUUUGUUAUGCAUUUCUGUUGUGAGGAAACAAAUGGAUGGUUUUUUUGUGUUAUUUCUAAGAGUGCAACAAAAUGCUGCCUUUUAGAAACUCAGGGUUAUGAUUCUGACCUGUGUGUAAAGUAUUUGUGUAAUUUCUGAUUAUGUAAAUAAUCUGAGGUAUCUGUGACAGGUGGAGCAGAGGUCACUGAAGGGAGGAAUAUUAACCACAAACUGAGGCAAAUCUUUAUUUCUGCUGCUCUUAAUUUUUCUUUUUUUUUUUUUUUAAAGGAAAUUCCAUUUUGUGGUAGAUCAAAGAUUGAAUGUUUCCUUUUCAAAGUUCUCAAGACUAGUGAUUAGUUUUGACAAAAAAGCACAAGUAGCUACAAAAGCAUUCAAAUGGACUUUUUGGGAACAUAAUUAACAGUUCAAAUGAGCUGAUUUUAAUAAUCGCCCCUCUUCUGGAAGACUGUAGCAUGGAUAUAGUGGUGUUUAUGGUAAAAAAUAAUUGCUGAUAGGAAGUUUCCAGUAGAGUUCCUGUGAAAUUUAGGCUCAUGGUUACAUUCCCACUUGUGAGGAAUUCCAUGGCUUUAGCAGCUGUCCCUGCACAGGGCUGAGCAAU